rnacentral:rRNA from 1 species
UAGGGAAUCUUCCACAAUGGGCGCAAGCCUGAUGGAGCAACACCGCGUGAGUGAAGAAGGGUUUCGGCUCGUAAAGCUCUGUUGUUAAAGAAGAACACGUAUGAGAGUAACUGUUCAUACGUUGACGGUAUUUAACCAGAAAGUCACGGCUAACUACGUGCCAGCAGCCGCGGUAAUACGUAGGUGGCAAGCGUUAUCCGGAUUUAUUGGGCGUAAAGAGAGUGCAGGCGGUUUUCUAAGUCUGAUGUGAAAGCCUUCGGCUUAACCGGAGAAGUGCAUCGGAAACUGGAUAACUUGAGUGCAGAAGAGGGUAGUGGAACUCCAUGUGUAGCGGUGGAAUGCGUAGAUAUAUGGAAGAACACCAGUGGCGAAGGCGGCUACCUGGUCUGCAACUGACGCUGAGACUCGAAAGCAUGGGUAGCGAACA